rnacentral:rRNA from 1 species
GACGAACGCUGGCGGCGUGCUUAACACAUGCAAGUCGAACGGUGAAGCGCCUUCCUUUUUGGUGGGUGUGGAUGAGUGGCGAACGGGUGAGUAACACGUGAGUAACCUGCCCCCUUCUUCUGGAUAACCGCAUGAAAGUGUGGCUAAUACGGGAUAUUCUGGGUCUGUCGCAUGAUGGGUCUGGGAAAGAUAUUGUUUCGGUGGGGGAUGGGCUCGCGGCCUAUCAGCUUGUUGGUGGGGUGAUGGCCUACCAAGGCGGUGACGGGUAGCCGGCCUGAGAGGGGGGACGGGCAAAGGGGGACUGAGACACGGCCCAGAACCAUAGGGGGGGGAGGAGGGGGGAAUAUGGAACAAGGGGGGAAAGCCGGAGGCAGGGACGCCGGGGGAGGGGGGGGGGCCUUCGGGUUGGGAACCUUUUUCGCCAGGGAAGAAGGCCGGCCUCGUUUGGGGGGGGGGUGACGGUGGGGGGAAAAGAAGCGCCGGCAAAAUACGU